AAAGUCGUAACAAGGUAUCCGUUGGUGAACCAGCGGAUGGAUCAUUACCUGAAAAGUUUAUGCCAACUUUGGUGUGGUUGAUGAGUUUAGUCAACCUCUGGAUUUGGCUGGUAAAUCAGCCUGCCAGUACUUGUGGUGUGCAAUGACGUGGAAUCGGUGUUGAAGCCGAUGAGAAGUCGCACGCUUGAUGAGUGAAGGGAUUGCUGGAAAGGACAAAUGUUUGUCCAGGCGAUAUGCACCCUCAAUCCCUGAGACUGCCAUUGACUUCACUGAAGCGAUUGUCUUAAAAGAUGACAACUGCUGGCCGUGGAUCACUUGGCUGAC
rnacentral:misc_RNA from 1 species